UGUAAAUACAUUUUAUUCAUCAUCAUCAUUAAUUAUUUCUUCUUCUUCCUGUUUUCUGGUGCAGAAUCAUUUAGACUCUGUCCUUUAUACAUACAUAUCCCUUAGUCAAUGCUUUUGUGUAAAAUAACAAUAAAAAAGAUGUAUUACUAGUGCAUCAAAUUUUUAAAAUCUAAAAAAUACUCAAAAACAAAAUAAAAGUAAAAAAACAAUUCAGAAACAAUAAACAUUAUCAUUGUUGCUUUGUAAGCACUUGUAAUAUAUUAAGUAUUUCACCUCACUAUUUUGCACAGUAAAUACUGAGUCCAACUAAAGUACCAUCUCUCCCCCUAAAAUUUUGAUCAUUUGAGAAUUACUUUAAAAUUCCCUUUAGGUAUAUAUAAUAACAUCAGCUGUGGAUGUUUUUAUGAAUUUCAAAACUAUUCCAUCUCCCCCUAAAUGGGUCUUUGUGGUAACUUCAAAAUUGUAAAUGGGACAACCCGUACAGUAAUAAUACAAAUUGAAGGUCUAGAUAAGAUACAGUAAUAAAACAACACUUGAAAAGCAAUACAGAAUACCUAUACAAAAGACAAAACUAUUCAAAUUUCUACCACAUAUCUAAGAAGUUAACAUUUGAGUGAAAGUAAAAUUAUAAUAUCUAUUAGACCUUUUGUUAAGAGGUGUCAACUUAAAAGCAUGUAAUUUCAAAACUUUUCUUAUUUGAUUUUGAUUAAUAUGAAAUACAAAACAAGAAUAAGGUAAAUGAAGAUUGUUCUGUUUGUUGCAUAAGCUGAUAGAUAAGUGAUAUCACAUAAAUCAAAAUGAGAAAUUGUUUUAAUUGUAAGAAAUCAGUGAGCACAAUGUUAAAAAUGAAACAAAAUGUUUUGACAGUGACAUAGUUCGGCUUGUAUUGUAUUUAUGUCAUCUUCUUUUGUUAAAAUUGAUAUAUAAUCAGAGUUUCUGAGUGAACGCAAAUGAAUGAGCAUUAUUGUAAGAUGUAGUGAUAAGAGUUGUUUAAUAAUAAUUUUACUCGUUGUCAUAACUUAUUAUUAUAAAUACAGAUGAUGAAUUAAACCUA